GUAAACGAUGUUCGCUAGGUGUCGGCCACGGUGCGACCGUUGUCGGUGCCGUAGGGAAGCCGUGAAGCGAGCCACCUGGGAAGUACGGCCGCAAGGCUGAAACUUAAAGGAAUUGGCGGGGGAGCACCACAACGGGUGGAGCUUGCGGUUUAAUUGGAUUCAACGCCGGAAAUCUUACCGGGACCGACAGCAAUAUGAAGGCCAGGCUGAAGACUUUGCCGGAUUAGCUGAGAGGUGGUGCAUGGCCGUCGUCAGUUCGUACUGUGAAGCAUCCUGUUAAGUCAGGCAACGAGCGAGACCCACGCCCACAGUUGCCAGCGUACUCUCCGGAGUGACGGGUACUCUGUGGGGACC
rnacentral:rRNA from 1 species